UGUCGGAUUGUAUUUUCCUGCUGUAGACCAUUUUGAAACAGGGCAUAUUUCAAGUCAGGUGUACCAAACAAGAAACCCACGGCUAUUGCACAAAAAGACUCCUAACGAUCAAACGCAAUGAACCCAAUGGGCAAAGUUCGGAAAGGGAAGUCACUCACUUUGAAUUCAAUGCAUGGGAUUACACCAGUGACGUCGCGAAGUCGAGUAAGGAUUACCUUGAUCUUAGCAAAAGCGUUAACGCCAACUUAAGAGAAACUUCUAACCAAGGCCCGGUUCUUGUUCACUGUUUGGACGGGACUGGAAAAAGUGCCUUGUUUUGCGUUGUUUCAAUUCUGGUUGAAAAGAUGAAAAUAGAUCAAGAAGUCAGCGUUGUUAAUACCAUAAGGAAAGUCAGGUCCAGGCGUACAUCAACAAUCUCUAACAUG